GUUCACAUUUAUAUCAUGUUGGAAAUGUCAGUUCUCGUUUGAUCACCAAAGUUAAGUAAUAUCAAUCCUAGUUUGUAUUUAGGUGGAUGACCACUUGCGAAAUCUAGAUAUUGUGAGCA
rnacentral:rRNA from 1 species